rnacentral:rRNA from 1 species
UACGAAGGGGGCUAGCGUUGCUCGGAAUCACUGGGCGUAAAGGGUGCGUAGGCGGGUUUUUAAGUCAGGGGUGAAAUCCUGGAGCUCAACUCCAGAACUGCCUUUGAUACUGAAGAUCUUGAGUCCGGGAGAGGUGAGUGGAACUCCGAGUGUAGAGGUGAAAUUCGUAGAUAUUCGGAAGAACACCAGUGGCGAAGGCGGCUCACUGGCCCGGUACUGACGCUGAGGUGCGAAAGCGUGGGGAGCAAACAGG